GCAAACUUGGUCAUUUAGAGGAAGUAAAAGUCGUAACAAGGUUUCCGUAGGUGAACCUGCGGAAGGAUCAUUAUUGAAUAAACCUGCGUGGGUUGUUGCUGACCUCUUCGGAGGUAUGUGCACACCUGCCGCUGUUUCAUUCAUCCCUUCCACCUGUGCACCCUCUGUAGGCUGCACCGUCGCUCCUCGGGUUCUUGUACCUCGGUGUGAGGAAUUGCUGCUUGGCUUUCCUUGGACGGUUGUGGUCUAUGUCUUCAUCAACUCGUCGUAUGUGAUGGAAUGUAUGAUCUGGGCUUGUUACUGCCCAUAAAAAAUCCUAUACAACUUUCAACAACGGAUCUCUUGGCUCUCGCAUCGAUGAAGAACGCAGC
rnacentral:misc_RNA from 1 species